UACGAGGGGGGCGAGCGUUGUUCGGAAUUAUUGGGCGUAAAGGGUGCGUAGGCGGUUCCGCAAGUCCUGUGUGAAAUCUUCGGGCUCAACUCGAAGUCUGCACGGGAAACUGCGGGGCUUGAGUGUGGGAGAGGUGAGUGGAACUGCGAGUGUAGAGGUGAAAUUCGUAGAUAUUCGCAAGAACACCAGUGGCGAAGGCGGCUCACUGGCCCGGUACUGACGCUGAGGUGCGAAAGCGUGGGGAGCAAACAGG
rnacentral:rRNA from 1 species